rnacentral:misc_RNA from 2 species
GGAAGGAUCAUUAACAAAGCUUGAAGUUCGCUCAACCGCGUCUUCAACAAAUCCAUCCACACCUUGUGCAAUAUUGACCUCGAGGCAAGUUCUUUCGGGAAUUUGCUGGUCUUGUGGGGGGAAAAACCUAAAGGAUAGGCAGCAAUGCUUAACCUUUAAGCCCCCCAAAAGUAUUUAACCUAUUCGUUUUUUGUUUGUCUGAAACUUUUUAUUGAUACAAUAAAAACAACUUUCAACAACGGAUCUCUUGGUUCUCGCAUCGAUGAAGAACGCAGCGAAAUGCGAUACGUAAUGUGAAUUGCAGAAUUCAGUGAAUCAUCGAAUCUUUGAACGCACAUUGCACUCUUUGGUAACCCGAAGAGUAUGCCUGUUUCAGAUAUAAGUCACUAUGAACUCUGAGGGGGUGUUUGCCAACUCAGUUUUCAUGACUUGAACUUUCCAGACUCAUUACGCGUCUGGUGGUUUAAAAUAAAAGCAUGGACGGUCUUCUUGACUCAUCCGCACGCAAAAGUGUAAUACGAGCUGUCAAAGGCUUCAUUCACUUCUUGCUAGGACGUCAGAUGUAUCGAUUUAAUCCAUGGUCGCAGGAAAUCGGGGGACUACGUAAGUAGAACCUAUCCAUAGCGGCAUCUGAAAUCAGGUAGGACUACCCGCUGAACUUAAGCAUAUCAAUAAGCGGAGGAAAAGAAACUAACAAGGAUUCCCCUAGUAACGGCGAGUGAAGCGGGAAAAGCUCAAAUUUGAAACCUGGCCUCUUCGAGGAAAAUGUCGCAGGGUUGUAGUUUAUAGAGGCGUUUUCGAUGGAAUCCUGGGUAUAAGUCUUUUGGAACAAGGCAUCAUAGAGGGUGAGAAUCCCGUCUUUGACUCAGAGUUUUCCAUUAUGUGAUACGUCUUCAUAGAGUCGAGUUGUUUGGGAAUGCAGCUCAAAAUGGGUGGUAAAUCUCAUCUAAAGCUAAAUAUUGGCGAGAGACCGAUAGCGAACAAGUACCGUGAGGGAAAGAUGAAAAGAACUUUGAAAAGAGAGUUAAACAGUACGUGAAAUUGUUGAAAGGGAAACGUUUGAAAUCAGUCAUUUCUUCUGGAAAUCAGCCUUGCUUUUGCAUGGUGUAUUUUCCAGUUGAAAGGUUAACGUCAAUUUUGGUUGUCGGAUAAAAGCCUUUGGAAUGUGGCUCUCUUCGGGGAGUGUUAUAGCCAAGGUCAAUACGAUGACUGGGAUUGAGGAUUCGCCGCCAAUGCUCUCUGGGCAGUGGCAUCAUGCGCUCAGGUUAACACUCUGCUAGACAGCUUGCUGACUAGUAGUUUGAAGAUUUGACUCGUGUGGUUCCCACUAAUUGGCGUAGGACGUUAACUUAAUGGUUUUAAACGACCCGUCUUGAAACACGGACCAAGGAGUCUAACAUAUAUGCGAGUAUUUGGGUGGCAAACCCAUAUGCGUAAUGAAAGUGAACAUAGGUGGGAUCCUCACGGAGCACCAUCGACCGGUCUGGAUUUUUUAAUGAAAGAUCUGAGUAAGAGCAUAUAUGCUGGGACCCGAAAGAUGGUGAACUAUGCCUGAAUAGGGUGAAGCCAGGGGAAACCCUGGUGGAGGCUCGUAGCGAUUCUGACGUGCAAAUCGAUCGUCAAAUUUGGGUAUAGGGGCGAAAGACUAAUCGAACCAUCUAGUAGCUGGUUCCUGC